AAGAUCGAGCAGCGAGAGACGGGCAGGGGAGAGGGAAAAAAAAAUCUAACCCUAGCAUCCGCAGCGCUAGGGUUCGGGGGUUGCGAUGGCGGCGGCGGCGAGACAGCGGGGGUGGCGGCGACCGCUCCUGCUACAACUGCGGCGAGGCCGGCCACAUCGCCCGCGACUGCCCCACGUGAGGUGUGUCCGCGUCCGUCCGUCCAGCCAGAUCAGAUCGGAUCGCUCCACCACCUGCUGGUCUGAUGGCGCCGCCCCCUUCUAGAUCUCGCUUAAAAAACACCCCCCUCUCGCUGUGUGUCGGAGUACCGCUUUAGUUUUGCCGAUCCGGGCACGAGUGCCCGCUGCCUCUUUCCUCUCAUGCGUAAGAGGAUCCCGUCCGCCGUUUUCAGAUUUCGUUCGGUUCGUAGAAGAACUCUCAAGUUAAGUUAAGUUAUCAUGGUGUGUGCUUGGUCGUUGUUCGUCGUCGUCGUUAAGGUUUUAAGAGAUGAUUUGGUCCUGUGUUGCCGAGGGGAAGUCGAAUCUGCUUUUUUCUUUUUUUGUGGUUUGUUCCACCAGACUGAGGAAGGAGAUGAGAUGAUUAUUCUCCCAGAUUAUAAUCCUGCCUGCUUGUGCUUGAUUUGGUUAC
rnacentral:lncRNA from 7 species